UUGUUUUACUAUGGCCAUCAAGCACUUGUAAACAUAAAAUCAGCGUUACCCCUUAUCAUAUUUCUGGCCUCAGAGGAUCGCGCUUUGUGAGUUUUGAAUUUGGCAACAACGGCCAUGCCUAACUUUCCUGAUCAUCUUUGUGGUACAAAAUUUAGACAUGUGUAAACCGUUAUGAGGAUUAUUUUGGGGGGAAAUACAGUGAAACUUAUUUACAGCAAUUUGAUGUAAACCAAGUCUGAUGGAGUUGAGCAAAGUGUGCGCGUUAUGUGGACUAAGGGCAUGAACACAGGAACCUUAAUGUUAAUAUCGAAAAUUUGAAAGCUGUUGAAAACAACUGACAUUAUGCUAAACAAUUAAAAAACAAGGAAAGCAACAAUACCAACAAGUCACUGGGAGGGUGGCAAGUUGCCUUCUUAUAUGUAAGCUGUCCUAGUAUGAGCAUUGAGAAACAGCCUGAUAAAAAUAACAACUAGCUCAAAAGCAGAAGGACAAUGGACAUGGGAGACUAAAAAGUAGAAUGUCAGCCAUACCAUUUACAUGAACCCUACCAAAAUCAAAGUUUUGAAAGAAUAUGUGAGAGAAGUAUUUUUAGUAAUGCAAUUACCGAAAAGAUUCAAGGAAGAUCUGAGCUACUCUAGAAACUUUUCAAGGAACUACCUGUACACAAGAGUGAAAACGUGGACUGUAAAUCAAAAAGUUUAACUUAUUAUAUUAAGUAGAAGACAAACAUUAGGAAAAUAAAAAGAUAUUCUGGAUGUGAUAUCUGUAUUAUGAUGUGUUUAAAAAGGGAAAUACACAGGAAUUAUGUUGUAAGUCUGGCCACUAAUUUAUAAAUGAAAUGAAGGCAAUGAUUCCACCCCAUCCGGUGCUAAUUUAAAAGGACUUAGUCAUUGGAUUCAAAAGCAUAAAUCAUCAGAAGUGUUCAUCUUUACCCUAAAGCGGAUUCGGACGCAACCUUUUAUUAAGGCGGAUUCCACCUUAUACUAAGGCGGAUUCCACCUUAUAUUUAGGUGGAUUCCACCUUAUUUUAGGGCGGAAUCUUGCAUAUUCCGCCUUAUAUUAAGGCGGAUUUCAAUUUAUCAUAAGGUGGAUUCCACCUAAGAUUAAGGCGGAUUCCUUUUUUGUUUUAAGGCGGAUUCCUUUUUGUUUUAAGGCGGAUUUUUAUUACCCGGAAUACGCUUAAUCUCAUUUAAAUAUUUCGAGCCAUAUACCGCCCGGAAUCCACCUGGACUCCACCCUGAAUCUGUGAUAUUAGUUAUACAUUCAGAGGAAUGAAAGACGGAAUCCGCCUUUCAAAUUUCGCCUACAUUCCGCCUUAAGUCAGGGUGGAAUUUUUCGUACGGGCAUCAUGAAUUGCUGACGUCAUUACAGUACGCAUUUACAUCAUCAAUCAAAGCAGAAGAUUUUACCCACCCUCUAUAACUAGCAUUUUCGGUUAUUGAAUGUAAAAUGUUUCAUAUAAUUGUGAUUUUGUUACACCUUUUCUGCUGUUAGAUUUGUUGUAUUUACAGGUUGUGUUGCUUUUGAUCUUGCUGAGUAAAUGUACUGUCUUCAUCAAUCCCAUCGUCAUGGCCGUUUUUUCGCAUCUUCUUCACAAAAGUCUAAGACGACUCAAAGUGUGGAUGCGGCUUUUAGGCUUACCAGUAGUAUCAUUGGACUUGGUUAUAACUAAUAUGUGCUUAUCUUGACAGUAUGUAAUUGUGAACAUCUGUUCUCAGGGUUCACCAUUUUUGCAUUUUUAGGGAUGCCAUACAAGGCUAUAUAUUGAUGCCUCGGCUCCCUCACUUAAACGGCCAUGGCCCAUUCAGCCAAUAAAAAGAAUUCAGUAUGAACUAGCUAUUUCUUCUUUUUUAUUAUUUAUUGGGUUUACUGGCACUCCCUUAUUUUAACUUUCAUCUUUGAUAAUAUCCAGUAGAUGAAAUCUUUGGUACAGGCACGAUGAAGGGAUA